rnacentral:rRNA from 1 species
UUGAACGCUGGCGGCAGGCCUAACACAUGCAAGUCGAACGGUAACAGGAAGCAGCUUGCUGCUUUGCUGACGAGUGGCGGACGGGUGAGUAAUGUCUGGGAAACUGCCUGAUGGAGGGGGAUAACUACUGGAAACGGUAGCUAAUACCGCAUAACGUCGCAAGACCAAAGAGGGGGACCUUCGGGCCUCUUGCCAUCGGAUGUGCCCAGAUGGGAUUAGCUAGUAGGUGGGGUAACGGCUCACCUAGGCGACGAUCCCUAGCUGGUCUGAGAGGAUGACCAGCCACACUGGAACUGAGACACGGUCCAGACUCCUACGGGAGGCAGCAGUGGGGAAUAUUGCACAAUGGGCGCAAGCCUGAUGCAGCCAUGCCGCGUGUAUGAAGAAGGCCUUCGGGUUGUAAAGUACUUUCAGCGGGGAGGAAGGGAGUAAAGUUAAUACCUUUGCUCAUUGACGUUACCCGCAGAAGAAGCACCGGCUAACUCCGUGCCAGCAGCCGCGGUAAUACGGAGGGUGCAAGCGUUAAUCGGAAUUACUGGGCGUAAAGCGCACGCAGGCGGUUUGUUAAGUCAGAUGUGAAAUCCCCGGGCUCAACCUGGGAACUGCAUCUGAUACUGGCAAGCUUGAGUCUCGUAGAGGGGGGUAGAAUUCCAGGUGUAGCGGUGAAAUGCGUAGAGAUCUGGAGGAAUACCGGUGGCGAAGGCGGCACCCUGGACGAAGACUGACGCUCAGGUGCGAAAGCUUGGGGAGCAAACAGGAUUAGAUACCCUGGUAGUCCAUGCCGUAAACGAUGAGUGCUAGGUGUUGGAGGGUUUCCGCCCUUCAGUGCCGGAGCUAACGCAUUAAGCACUCCGCCUGGGGAGUACGACCGCAAGGUUGAAACUCAAAGGAAUUGACGGGGGCCCGCACAAGCGGUGGAGCAUGUGGUUUAAUUCGAUGCAACGCGAAGAACCUUACCUGGUCUUGACAUCCACGGAAGUUUUCAGAGAUGAGAAUGUGCCUUCGGGAACCGUGAGACAGGUGCUGCAUGGCUGUCGUCAGCUCGUGUUGUGAAAUGUUGGGUUAAGUCCCGCAACGAGCGCAACCCUUAUCCUUUGUUGCCAGCGGUCCGGCCGGGAACUCAAAGGAGACUGCCAGUGAUAAACUGGAGGAAGGUGGGGAUGACGUCAAGUCAUCAUGGCCCUUACGACCAGGGCUACACACGUGCUACAAUGGCGCAUACAAAGAGAAGCGACCUCGCGAGAGCAAGCGGACCUCAUAAAGUGCGUCGUAGUCCGGAUUGGAGUCUGCAACUCGACUCCAUGAAGUCGGAAUCGCUAGUAAUCGUGGAUCAGAAUGCCACGGUGAAUACGUUCCCGGGCCUUGUACACACCGCCCGUCACACCAUGGGAGUGGGUUGCAAAAGAAGUAGGUAGCUUAACCUUCGGGAGGGCGCUUACCACUUUGUGAUUCAUGACUGGGGUG